ACGGAUGAGGCGCAUCGAUCAAUAGUACUCAUAUACUUAACUUCUGCGAAAGUGUAUAUGACGAAAGGGUGAGAUGCCGAAAUGGUCAGCAACGCAGCUGCGGGCCGUUGGAUUCACAGGUUAAGAGCUAUGGAUUUGUCAUUAUUUGAAAGAAUAAUGGAGGGCAUC
rnacentral:ncRNA from 1 species